rnacentral:rRNA from 1 species
GGCUUAGUGAUCCGGUGGUUCCGCAUGGAAGGGCCAUCGCUCAACGGAUAAAAGCUACCCUGGGGAUAACAGGCUUAUCUCCCCCAAGAGUCCACAUCGACGGGGAGGUUUGGCACCUCGAUGUCGGCUCAUCGCAUCCUGGAGCUGAAGUAGGUUCCAAGGGUUGGGCUGUUCGCCCAUUAAAGCGGUACGCGAGCUGGGUUCAGAACGUCGUGAGACAGUUCGGUCCCUAUCUGUCGUGGGCGCAGGAAAUUUGAGAGGAGCUGUCCUUAGUACGAGAGGACCGGGAUGGACAUACCUCUGGUGUACCAGUUGUCGUGCCAACGGCAUCGCUGGGUAGCUAUGUAUGGACGGGAUAAGUGCUGAAAGCAUCUAAGCAUGAAGCCCCCCUCAAGAUGAGAUUUCCC